UUUUUGUUUAUCUGGCUGAAGACAUCUUUGAGUGAGAUUCCUUCGUCCCUUUUCUGUGAUGUAUAAGUAAUCUUACUCAUCUCGGUCCUCUAUGCCGUGGCACGUAAUCGUCCUUUAUUAACAGCUAGCUGAAAACGUUCGAGAACCCAGUCUCCCUCUUCAUCAUCUCAAAGUCAGACUGGUCGUCACGAUGAAAAUAAUAAUUGUUGGACGCAGUGAUGAGCAGAAGCACCAACCCAAGUGUCGCGAGGCAACUUAACUCAGCCUCCCAUUACCGACCCACAAGGCCACCACCGCCUCAAGGGGUCCGCUCGUUCAGUUUGCACAAACGGCGAAGCGCCGUUUAGUCAUGAGGAUAAUCAUACCCAGCAUCUCGGCGCUCCUUUUGCUCUCUCAGGGUAUCGUCUGUCUCCAGUGGGAAGAGCCUACGAUUACGACGCAUCAGUACCCGUCUGACAUUCCCUACACACCCACUGGGGAAGAAGAAGAACUUCUAGCUUCCCUGCCUUCGGUGGAACGCCUGGACUGUUGCUCUGAGUCGUCCCCCCAUCACAAAGAAAAGGUUUCCUGGGUCGUCCAGGCAAUUGAGGAGCAGCGAAAGUUGAUUUCUCAGUUGCAGAGGAGGUUCGACGUUCUGGAAGAGAAGUCUAAGGGACUUGACUGCUGCAAGAAUUCCGUGAGGAGGCCACGCUGGCUUGCAACAGGAGCGGAGAUGUUCAGCCCAAAGGAAGGUGACUUCCCAAAAGAAACUUAUCCGUAGUGCAAAAAGAAAGAAAAAAAAAACUUAAUUGAAUUACGUGCGAGGAUUCUCCAUUAAGCCAAAACUGCUAAGUAUAAAAGAAUGUCGGAUUUACUCUAACAGUAGAUAUAACUAAUGGAGUUUGUGCAUAGUAAUAUAUUUAUAUAAAAUACUCAAUUUGUAUGAUCAUGAAGAAAUUAUCUUAUCCUAACGGCAAAAUCUCUUUAGCUUGUAAAUAGUAUAUGGCAUACGUACGCCGUGAAUCCAUUGCUACCUGUAUUAUAAAGAAUGUUGAUGGUUA